rnacentral:rRNA from 1 species
UGGGGAAUAUUGGACAAUGGGCGCAAGCCUGAUCCAGCCAUGCCGCGUGAGUGACGAAGGCCUUAGGGUUGUAAAGCUCUUUUGGCGGGGACGAUAAUGACGGUACCCGCAGAAUAAGCCCCGGCUAACUUCGUGCCAGCAGCCGCGGUAAUACGAAGGGGGCUAGCGUUGUUCGGAAUUACUGGGCGUAAAGCGCACGUAGGCGGAUGUGCCAGUCAGGGGUGAAAUCCCGAGGCUCAACCUCGGAACUGCCUCCGAUACAGCACGUCUCGAGUCCGGAAGAGGUGAGUGGAAUUCCUAGUGUAGAGGUGAAAUUCGUAGAUAUUAGGAAGAACACCGGUGGCGAAGGCGGCUCACUGGCUCGAUACUGACACUGAGGCGCGAAAGCUAGGGGAGCAAACGGGAUUAGAUACCCCCGUAGUCCCUGAGCGGGCUGGCAAGGCGCAU